rnacentral:rRNA from 1 species
CCUACGGGAGGCAGCAGUAGGGAAUAUUGCUCAAUGGGGGAAACCCUGAAGCAGCAACGCCGCGUGGAGGAUGAAGGUUCUCGGAUUGUAAACCCCUUUUGGUAGAGAAGAUAAUGACGGUAUCUAACGAAUAAGCACCGGCUAACUCCGUGCCAGCAGCCGCGGUAAUACGGAGGGUGCAAGCGUUAUUCGGAUUCACUGGGCGUAAAGAGCGCGUAGGCGGGAUAGCAAGUCAGAUGUGAAAUCCUAGGGCUUAACCAUAGAACUGCAUUUGAAACUGUUAUUCUAGAGUGUGGGAGAGGUAGGCGGAAUUCCUGGUGUAGGGGUAAAAUCCGUAGAGAUCAAGAGGAACACUCAUGGCGAAGGCGACCUACUGGACCGUAACUGACGCUGAGGCGCGAAAGCGUGGGGAGCAAACAGGAUUAGAUACCCGAGUAGUC